rnacentral:lncRNA from 1 species
UCCUGGUUUGAGAAGACAAUUGCGUUUGAAGGCGUGAACUCCAUUGCCGGCGAUGGAGUUCCUGAUGCAAACAAUUAGCAGGUAACUACAUGAUUUCUUUGUUUGGGAAGUGAAUGCGGCUGGUUCGUACUUGAUUUUGUUUCCUUGCUUUCAUCAGUGCCCGGAUCCAGAUUCCCCUUGAUCUUGAUUGAAGAGGUGGAGCCCCGAUGGGUCUGGCGCCGUACGUCGCGAGAGUUGCAGCCCAGCCUGCGGACCAAGACCCGGGCGGAGCCGCAAGUGAGCGCAGAUCUGGGAGCGAGAAAACGGUCGGGCGGAUACGCGCGAGUCCUCACCACAGGCAUCUGAACUCUCCAGUGCCAAGAAGAACCCGCAGGCACCUGGCUGGGCUAAGAGGUGCGUUCGAUCGUACACCAAGAGUGCCUGUAUGCUGCGUAACAGCGUCGAGUGCCUGUUGAUCUGCGUGAGAUUUGUGCUCUAAUUUGUGGGUUCGCACUGCUUAAAAUCAGUCCAACCACAGGAGACAGUUAGAACAAUUUGGGUCCUUUACCAUAGUUUUGGGUUAUGAUAGAAUAAUUAGUACUUGUAUAAGUGUGUUAUUACUGGAAGGUAGAACUGAGUGAGGCUGGGUGCAGCGACUAAUUUAGCAAAUAUUGUGUAGUGUGAAUGGGCUGAGCAAGUUCUUUUGGCAUGAAGGAUGAGGAUGUAAGAUCCUCUGAAUAUCUUGAUGGUGAGAUACUGGAGCAGUUGGAUCAUUAAAUAUAGCCAUGGGAUUUGUUAGUCCGUUUUUUUGUAACUGAAUGUGCUUGCAUUAGGCUGUGAGCUUUGUACUAAAAUCCGCGCGUAUGAUUCGACAUGUUCGGUUGAGUAGAGUUCUGACUGUAAUUGUUUUGUAGAGGUUAGUAGUGUUUGGACUGUUGGUUAUCAUUCUCGAAUAAGGCAUUCAUAUCAAUCUCUGCACCUGCCAGAAAUAAAAAAUGUGGAAUGUAUGGGUUUUUUCCGUUUCCUUUGUGAUUUUUGUGUACCCUGUAGACAUAAUUCUAUUUUCCGCACAUUGAAAAUGUCAAACAAUGUUUCUUUGUUGUGAAGAAACUCUCUUGCAGGUUGAGGUUUGUUGCAGCAGCCCCUAGUAGGAUGCUCUGCCCGGUGAGGGCUUGUUCUGUUAGACCCGACUGGGGUUCGAAACCCGAUCUGGCUUGUAACAGGCUUCGGUUAUACCUCGUCCAGUACGAGAGGAGGAGAGGCGUGAGCGACGGCGGGCCUGCAGCAGAUCCACAUGCGCGGCGGCCUUCUCCGGCGCGAGCACGAUGGGAGCGGACGGCAGCAGCGUGCCCCAGAGGCGUCCUACUAUUGCGUCCGAGAGAGGUGACGACGGCGUCCACACCUACGAUGUUGGAUUUCUCGCUGGUAAGGUCCUAUUUCUUCCUCUCGCUUAUCCGAAUUUCUGAGCCUUGAGGUUUCUCGGUUCAGGCGAAUUAUAAGGUUCUUGGUUCCCGUCUGCCUGCUCAAGUCAUUUGUUUUUCCAGAAAUAUUCUCUGGAUCAAGUGUCUUUUUUAUGUCAUACUGGACUGUGUUAUAAAACACUGGAGGGGGAAGCAUAAAUCUGAACAUCUAAAUUUUAGUUAGACGGAUAGUUCUUUUUUCCCUGAUAGUUCAUAAUUGCAUGAGCACAAUGUCAGCGUUGCAUUAACUUUUCUUGACCGCUUUCUUGAGCACGCAUGACCUGGUCCAUUUGAUUGUUAACUUCUAUGGGGUUAAUUAGCCAGGCCUGGCACAAAUACUUUCUAUUUGUACAAUUUAGGCCAGGAAGAGAAGCCAGCAGGCUGCUGAUCGUUUGGCACACUGCAAGUUCUCAGCUGAAUUCAAGCUUCAUAUUCAUGCCAUGUUACAGUUUGCAUUUUUUUCUUAUAGGAAACUGUCUUCAAUAUUAUCCAGAAAGUAAUGGAAAUGGCACAUCUUUCUGGUAGUUUGUGAAGUUGCUAACGGAUGUAAUUUACUAAUGACGCGAUGACACUUCAUUUGGAUAAUGUAUGUAACUCGUGAGUUAGUUCAUGAUUUUGAAAUUCUUGAAAUCAAGGAAUACGUGGGGGCUAUGCUGGGUUGGGUUGUGUGACUUACAGGUUUGUUGCCGUUGCUUCUCAUUAUUAGAAGAACAUGUUUCCAUACACUUCAAAAAGCUAUUUUACAUUGUUGCCUUGCCUGUUCAUCUUGAAAACCGUAAUUCUUUUUCAACCAUGAGAGGGUAUUGAGGCAUUUUAUAUACUCCUUGAGCUAGAAAAUUUUGAUUCUGAAUCUCCGGAUUACUAUA